rnacentral:sRNA from 1 species
CAGGGAAAGACUCUGCUCUGGUCAUAGCUUUUACAGUCAAGCACCAGCUACUCAUGCCUCACAUCAACAGAUCUGAUAUCACUAAAGUCAAGUCUGUCAUUGCUUCAUUGGAAGAGGAGGCUAAAGAGUCUGUGGCCUCGACGCUCAAGCUGCAGGAAAUAUUGAAAGAACACUGUGAUGGUAACCGAAAUAUUCUUCACAUGUGUGUUGCAGCCUGCAUCCCACAGUCUAAUAAGGAAUGUGACAAUGGUAAAUA